AAUAAUACUAAUAGUAAAGUUUGUUCAUAGCAUCCAUCUCUCGCUUGAAGUCAACCAUUGCAACUCUUGGCAACGUCAUGAUCACCUUAACUCCACCUUCCAUUGAUGGAUCAAGUUGUGAAGGUCUCAAAAUCAUCCCUAUAUGCACUGCACUCUUCUGCUCUAUCAACGGCCGCAGAUUUACAGGCUCAUUCCAACCAAAGUCCAUUGAUCCGAACCAACCAAUAUUCCUCCAGUCAGUCAGGAAAAAUAGUCCAUCGCUUACCCCUUCAAAUUUCGCAUCAUCCCUCAUCAAUCGCUCCGUGUUCUUUAGCUCUUCCUCGAGAUAACCCUUGUCAUAAGCUGUUUUCUUGGCUUUCUUCACGUGCUUAGCAAUGUCGAAGAUUGAUGCUUCUUGGAGUUCUCUCACAGUUAACUCGAUAUAGACAUCUAUGUAGGCGUUACCGUAGAAUCCUUUAGGAAGUGGCGGAUCUAAAACAUGUCGGAUUCCAACAGCUAUGCCCAGGAAAGUGAUCCCGUCAAGGUUUAGCUUCAGGGCUCGAGAUCUUGCUUUCCAUAUGCAAGAGCUAAGUACUUCAUAAGUUGUGAAACCCUCUUUAGGGUACCCGCACUCUCUCAUCAAAGAGUCUUUAAGCCUCUUUAUAUUCCUAGCCCGAAUGUUUAUUGUCUCCGUUACCUGUUGGAUAGAGAAUGGAAAGAUAUCACUUUAGCUAAAAAUAUAAAAUUCUUCUAUAUAAUCACAUCAAUUCUUUAAGUUUCUUUGUAUUUGCAAGAACGUCGGGUGAACCCUGAAAACAUCAAUUAUAUUAAUUUUACUUAUUUAAUCUAAUGUAUAUAAAAUAUAUAGAAAUUACAAAUUAUAAUCAAAAAUAAAAUAUCAUUCACAAAAUUGUUGAAGUUAUUGGGAGAACAACAUACCAUAUCACUAGUUGGAAUAUAUGGUGAGGCGGCUAAAAGACUAGUAAUAUGGCCACCAGGCACUUUGGCCAAUUCAUUAUCAAAUUGUCCGAGCAACCGCUCUCUCUGCCACACCGGCUUCACCGUUGGCUCUCUCUUUCCUGCAGCCAGCUCGGUUAAAGCAUGGAUGAUCUGAGCCACUCCAAAUCCAUCACAUACGGCGUGCGUCAACGCCGUGCCGAUGGUGAAUCCUCCACAUGCGAACUUGGUCACCUUUAAAAAAAAAAUCAAAGGGAAAAAUUGGUUAGCUUAGUUAUGCGUGAUCCACACUACGAAGAAAACAUUACCCUUACAAAACUGAGAGUUUACUGAGAUUAUUAUCUAAUCUUCAAGAAAAUGAUAUACUUAUUGCAUUUUUUCAUAGAAAAGACUAUUUUUAAUUUUUUUUUUAUAACCAUGGAAGUUCAUGGCCUUAAAAUCAUAAUUAUAGAAUCAAGAAAGUGAAAAGCUACCUGCAAAGCUAGUGGAUGAUAAGAGACGUUGCUAUCGUAGUCUAUUUCGAUAUCAGGCACAAGGCGCAAAGCAACUUGGUCAUCAAGAUUUUCUAUAUAGUUUAGAGAGGAGAGGUUGAGGGCUGCAGUAGCGACCUCAAAUGGAACUCCCUCACCCCAAAAAACUAGCUGAAGUUUUCGAUCACUCUCUCGUCUCAUGAGCUUGCCUGAAAGGGGAUAGUAGUAGACAAGAAGUUCGGACAAAGCCUUCCUAAGCAAAGGGACAGGAUCAUUUCGGUUCUUUUCGUUGGCUUCGAAAACGUAAAUCGUUGCGUACAUAACUUCAUUGAAAAGAUCAUUGUCCAAAGUAGAAAGUGAGAGAGUUUCAGAAGGAGUGUGUUUUGAGGGUUUAAUAAGCUCAAGUGGUUUCUUUUCGAGUAAUAGAGGCAAGAUCAGUUUCGUUUGGUUUGCCAUUUCUUACUAGUUUAGACUGUCUACUAUAAAACAUCCGUAUGAUGUUUAUAUAGCGAAUUUUAAAUAUUAAAUGAACGUCCUCUUCGUUUUCACGUUGUUGGCGCUAGUUACCACCAACAAUGACUGACUGAUGCCUUUAUUUGGUUUCUGGUCUUAAAUCUCAUUUUUUGAAUACCAUUGCAACAUCUUUUAUUUACGAGAGAGAGUGACAUUCUUAUUCACAGCCGCUUUUGCAGGAAUUUUUUCUGGUCACAGAUUGUGUAUGAAUUUAAUUUAGUCUUGAGCACGUAAUGACAAUGUUACGUUCAUAUGUUUGUUGGCUAAAUUAGCGUGAUCAUUUUUCGUUUUUUUUAGGAAUGUCCCGCAUCAUAAAUGAGAUUAUACAUUAAGCAAUAAUAUGAUCUAACAAUAAUAAAAGGAAGAUAUACUCAACAGAGAAGCAUGCCACGUCUUCUUAAAAAAUUAUCCAAUCAGAAUAGUCUUUUUUGACACGUCAUAUAUGACAGAAAUAUAGUGGGUUUUGUUUUUAUGAAAAUUAUCAGUCUGGCCCAUCAGAGCCCAUCUAGAAAACGGAACAUGUAUUAUUUUACGUUUCUGAGUUUUUCUCUGACUCUUCCACUUCAUCUUCACCGAUGUUAGAAUUUUUUUUUGUUUUGCGUAACCUUCUCAAUCAAUGGUGAUCUUAAAACCAUUCUGAAUUUUUGGUUCCACCUCCCCCCUUGAUCCUUCUCCUAUAUAAAACUAUGUAUAAACCUAAAUCCACCCAAAAUCAAAACCUACUCUGAAAUCUUUUGUCUAAACCUAACUGCACGAUCUCUACAUCUACUCCGCCACCGUCAAAUCGAAACUGCAAUUCCCCCGGUAAAAGCUCAGUCGCCGUCGAACCUCCUUCACCGCCGAACCAUCAUCAUCCAGGUUCUUACCACAUGACGUCUCACACCGUUAUCAAUACGUCGAGAAUAUCCGGUAAAGUUUCCGUUGACGGAGAGAUCGUCAAGAAGAUUCGUCGAUCAGUUUUAAUCAAACUGAUAUAAAUGAUUAUGCUAAUUUUUUUACCGUAAUCAAAAGAUUUAUGUGUUAUGUUAGAACCACAAGAGUUUUCUUUAAUAGCUAUGGAUCUUUUGCUAACAGAUGAUAUACAUACAUAAACUCAGAUUUCAAGUGAGGAUGUUUUUCUUCUGAAGAAGCUAUGCUUUUGUGUGAGGUAUAAUUCACUUAUAAACUUCAUCAUAUAUGGAUAAGAUUUCAUAUUUUGUGUUUGGUUUAUAUUUGACAUUUGAGCUCAUGUGUGAUUUUUAGGCACAACGAGUGUAUGAGAAUAGAUGGACUGAGAUACAAAGGUGGAUUCAGGCAGGUAGAAUACCUUCUCUAAUGGUGCUUCAAGUCAUGAUUGCAGGAUCAAUCAUUAAUGUUUUGUACUUCUAUAUGUUUGUAGAAAGGAUAAGGUUGUGAACAACAUGUUUGCGAGACUUUGUAUGAAGAGAGCCAAGCAUGAAACUAUGGCUAGCGAGGACAAAUCAAACAAGAACAGAAUGUUGUUCUUAGAUGGAAGUAGUACUCCCGCGAAUAUAAAACUCCUAUUGCCAAUAGAACAAGGAGCCAGCUCCAUGUAAGCUCUGAUUCUUUUUCCUUUAAUUUGUUUGCUCCAAAGUUGUGAUCAAGCAUUUUUCGGACUUGAAAUCUGUGUUUAAUUAUUCUCUUCCUGAAUAGCUGCCCUAGAUUACACAUUCUGUCUCCACGGUGAGUUAUUUAUGACCAUCACAAGGUGGAAACUUUCCUCACUUCCUCAUGGGUUACUGGAGGACAAUCUAAAAAUAUUAGACUGGACAAGCAAAAGUUAACAAUCUUCUUUGACAACCCCAACAUCGGGUACUAAUUUUUACUACUUCUUCAAGUUCCCAGUUUAAAACUCCAAGAUAAAUGAUUGUUUUCAUUGUUCCGUUUAUAGGAAAUCGAAGGAAAAAAGCCUUUUUCUGGGUCAUUUUCAUGCAAAAGGAACCGUCCGUCAGAAAAUGUAAGAGCUAUAUAUUCAUUGGCUUCUUUAUCUGCUUAGUUUUAGUGUGGACAGUGGUGUUGAUGAGUGAGUCUCUGUGUCUGAAUAUGCAGAGAAAUCGAGUCUAAGCAGCGCUAGAGUACAACCUAUCAAUAACAGCACGAAGAAUAUUGCUUUAGCCCGCAAGAUGGUUGUUUUAAACACAUGAGGCAAAUGUAAGUUGAAUCAAAAGCCUUUGUAAGCAAUUUAUUAAACGUGAAUUAGUUUUGUCGAAUGUUGAAUCAUCUUUUGCUAAUGUUUGCAAGACGUGGUCUUUAUUUCUGGAUUUGGUCAUAAAAGUCAUGCUGUGGGAGAUAUUUAUGGAGUUAGGUACAAGGUUUCCAGGGUUUCUGUUGUUUCAAUCUCAGCUCUCUACAAGGAAAAGGAGCAGCCAACGUCUUAAAGAAAGCUUCAAAUUUUGAAUUUGAUCUUAAUAUCAUAAGCACUUUUAGGUUGUUUGAAAAACAAAUCUACUUUAUGAUUUGAGAAGUAGGUGUGUUUAACCUUUUUUUUUAAUGAGGUUUUGAGCAUGUUUUCGGCUGCACAAGAAAUAUCAACGUCACAAGUGAACAAGAAGAAUAAGACACCAAAUGACCUGUCAUGAUGUGUUUCUAAACAAGGUGAGAUUAGAUAGUUGUUAUUAUUUAUGGUUACGAAGUUGGUUCAGAUGAAUAUCUUUCUUGACCAUUUCAUCAAGUUGUAAAAAAAAAGAUAAUAGUUCCCUAUUUCCAAAUAAUAAACUAAUUAUAUUCUUGAAAAUAAAUUAAUUGCAUACAAAAUACUAAUAUUAUAAGAACUUACAACAAACCUUUCAUGUUACCAAACUUUACUAUUUGUUUUCUUAUUUAGUGACCUCAGCGAGUGUUAUAACAAACUUUUUAUGUUAUUUAGGAUAAGUCUUAAAUCUAACGUUACAGUUUCUCAAACCUUUUGUAAACUAUGAUGUUAACAUGUUAGGAGCUCAAGCAUGUUUUAGUUUUAGUCGAGUCAAUGCGAUGUGGAUUAGGUAAUCGAUUGAAAUAUAAUUGUGCUCAUUGAAAGGAAGCAUCACUAUUUAAGAUAUUCUGCUGACUUCAGUGGUGAAUCCAAACUGAUUUUUCACUGGGUGGACAAAGUGUAAAAUUACCAGUAACAAUAUGUGUAUAUAUGAAAUUAGGCUCAGUAACACACCAUUUUUUUGAAAAUAUUAUGGGUGCAUCCGUGCAUGUGCACACCCUCUCUCCUUACUAGCUUUGCCCCUGGUUGACUUGAAGAAAUAUUAGACAAUAGAAGAUUCGUUUUAGUGAGCAGCUAGAUUGGAAGUACUUGAAGAAAUGAUUGUUGCCAUCCUGGUACUGCAGGAAAGGCUACAUGAUUAUGGUGAAAGAAUCUGAGAAGUUUUUUAGAUUCAAGAAAUUUCUCCUUGGCAUUAAAACCACCAUUGUUUUUGUUAACACCAAAAAAAACUCCAACUCUAUUGCUAAGAUCUGGAUAAGACCGGAAUCCGUGUCAUAACCCUGCACUGUGGGAAAACUCAAAAGCAUAGAGAAAUCAGAUUGGAAAAAUUCAGAGCAAAGUGAUACAACUUCUUUGACAAAUUGGUCAUUUAAGCGGAUUAGUAUGUGUUUUUCGGUCAGACACAUAUGUAUGUGUAUCUACAACCGUGCUUAAAAAUUUUAAUAACUUUUGAUGCUAUAAGCCGAAUAAAAUAGUUCAAUAUUCUAUUAAUUUUUGUAUAAUAAAUAAUAUAAUUAUAAUAAUUGUGUAAAGUAAUUUGGUAGAAAUAAAAUAUUAAUAUAAAUAAUAUUUAUAUAGUUCUAAUUUUGUAAAGUUUUAGAAUAAAUAAUAUAUUAUCAAUAGAAAUUAAUCCCCUAAUGUUAAUAUAUAUUUAGGUUUAUGAAUAAUAUGUUUUUAUGAAGACUAUGUUUUCUAUUACAACAUUUAGUUUACAAAAAAAUAAACAAUAGCUUAGAAAAACAACUAAAUACAUAAAUUUUGUUUUUGGUAGUAGCCAAGUAGCUCCAAAGGAAGUGGGACUAUGAGUUCCUGACAAUGGGUUGUUAUGGUUAGAAAGCCAUACUCAUCGAUACUUUACAUGAUUUUUAAAUAAAUUAUUUCAAUAAUUUUCUUUCAUUUUAAACAAAAUAAAUAAUAUUCACUUGGCGGCUCCAUAUGAUUUCAGCCAUUAACAUAAUAUUUACAAUGACUUUAUCUAUUUUAUAACUCGAAAAUUCAAUUCUGUUAACUGAUUUAAAUUUAGAGUCAUUCUUGGGUUCACCCCCUAAGGUGAACCUCUAGCUUCACCAAGCAAUAGAAUUUCAUUAUUUCAAUUUCGAUAUCUUUUAGAAAAGGAAACAAAAUAUUGUCAAAAUAUAUUAUGUUUUUUAAAUAAAAAGGUUAAAAAAUAGUAGUUAGAGAAAAACGAAUUUAAAAAAUAUAUAUAUUUUUAUCGUCGUCAGCAAAACACUAAACCCUAAAUCCUAAUCCCUAAACCCUAAAUCAUAAACCCUAUAAACCCUUGGGCAAACUCUAAACCCUUGAAUAAUUCAUACUCUAAAUCAAAAACACUAAAUCCUAAAACCCUAAACCCUAAACCCUUAAGUGUUUAGUGUUUUUGAUUUGGAGUUUAGGAUUUAUCCAAGGAUUUAGGGUUUAUCCAAGGGUUUAUGAUUUAGGGUUUAGGGAUUAGGGAUUAGGAUUUAGGGUUUAGUAUUUUUCUGAGGACGUUAAAAAUAUAUUUUUUUAAUUACUACUUUUUUUAAUUUAUUUAAUUUUACUUUUUUAUUUUAAAAAUAUAAUAUAACUUAUAUCUUGAGAAAAUAUUUUGUUUCCUCUUUUAAAAAAUUUCGAAUAUGAAAUAACACAAUCCUAUUGGUGGGUGAACCUCUAAACCCUAGGGAGUGAACCCAAGAAUAAGUCUUAAAUUUAUAUCUCUAUAAAGUAACUAAAAAUUUUAAAACUUUGAGACCUCAUUUAUUACCCAUACAACCUUUCAAUUAUUUUUGUCAAAAAUAAUCCAAUUGUUUACUUCGGAUUAUUCAUCAAGAAGAUUCCACCAAUCCAUCUUAAGAGUUCACUAGACCAACAUUUAAACUAAAACAAGAAAGAAAGUUUGUGUUUUAAAAUAAAGUGUUUUAAAAAGAAAAAAAAAAGAAAGUUUAGAUUCAGAUAACUUAUGGCAAACAAAAACAGCAAAUUAGUUGCCCACAAAUUAACAUACUUUGAAUAUAUAUAUAUAAUAAAAAUAAUUAAAUAAAUUUUUUACUCAAUAUAAAAAAUGAAAAUAGUGGUAAAAUAGAAAAAAAAUAAAAUUAAGAAACAUAUGAAAACUGUAUUUAAUAGUGGUAUCAAUUCCUUAAAAAGAAAGUUGAAGAAAAUUAAUUUUACACUUAAUAUCUACCAAAAAUAUGCACUCCCUUAAAUUAACUACAACCAAAACACAAAAAAAUCAGUAGCGCACAACUUCUAUACAUCAUUUCUGCAUUCACUCAUAAAAAAACUAGAAUCUAUAAAAAAUAAAAAUUAUGUAAACAAAACAUCAAAAAUCAAAAAAUUAACCACAGAUCAAACAUAAAUAUAUAAAUACAAUUUUGUUUUUGAAAUACUACAUGCAUAACACUUAAAAUGAUCACAUAGCAAUAGAGGAAGAAGACUAUAUAAAACAUUUUCAUUUUUAUAAACAGAAAAUAUCCAUUCCCCAUUGACGUACUUUUAAAGGAAGAAACAAAAAUUAAUCAAACAAUCAAUAUUUUUUCCUUACAAAUAUGUCUAAAUUUUAUAUGAAAAGACAAUGAUAUCGGUAUUAAAAAAUUAAGCUAUAAUAAGUUAACAUUUUUAAAUCAUAAAAAAAACAAAAGAAAUAUAACAAAAAUGAAUCAAAUAUUAUGCUAACAUAUUUUAAUAUUUUUAUUUAUAUACUAUUUUUUGUUAUUUGAUUUUAAAUUUAUAUUCUCAUAAUUUAAUAUUUAUAUUCUCAUAAUGAUAAUUUAAUAUUUGUAAUUUCACUCCUAUCGUUAACUUAUUUUUACUUUGUUUUAAUUAAAAAUGAACCAAUAAUCACUAUAUAAAAUUUUAAUUUAUAUGAUAUAAGCCAAGCUCAAGUCGAAAUAAAUCUACAAACCACUUUUUAGUUUAAACAAAAAAAGAAACAGUCUUUGGAUUAGUUUGGUUAACCUAUCCCUUAUUCUUUUUUUUGUCAACUGCCUCCGUAUAUUAAUUCAUAUACUUCUAAUUUGUUACAAAUUAUUAAAUUUAAUUUACUAAAUUUAAUAUUACACCAUAAAACAUAUUAAAAAUGGAUUCAGAUAUAUUCCAACAUUCAAAAAAUGAUUUUACAUUAAAAAACAUAAUCUUCUUCUCUCUUUUGGAACACUCACAUUAAUAACAUCAUCUAUAAUGAUAUUUAAGUACAUUAUAAGGGAAUUAUUUUCUUCCUGUUUAUUUAUUUAUGAUAAAAUUUAUAUUUUUUCAAUUAAAAUUAUUGAAUUCGCUUCCAAAAAUAACAAAGAAAUUCACAUAAAUUAUACUAAGUUAUAAAAUUACAUGUAAUAUAAAAUGUAAAAUUCACAUACAAAAUUUAAAACAUAUAAACCGCGCGUAGCGCGGUUAGAAUCUCUAGUAUAUAUAAAAGAGACAUAAACUUUUCUGUGGUUAAAAAUAAAAUAAGACAUAAACUAAUUUACUAAUUGCCAAAGUAUGCUAAUUGAUAGUUCAUGAAACUAAUAUGAUAUCAAAGUUUCUUGAUAAAAAGAUGGUUUCAAAGCGUCAAUGCACAUUGCUCUAACGCAAGUGAAAUUAAUUGAACCUAAAAUUUGUCUGAUUGAUCCAAUAAAAUUUUGACCUGAUUGUAAGUUUGGCAUGUAUUUUCUCUUAUUAUUUCUUCAUUCUGCAUCAUUUUGUGGCAUACACUGAUACACAUUGCAUUUGAACGUUGAUUUAUAUGUAUUUACAUACAUCUUCGAACUCUUAGGAUGUAAAUCAUGCAUUGUGUAUAUAUAUUAUGACUAAGUCAUGUAGGUAUUCUUGGAGCUCAGUGAAGAAGAACGAAGUAAGUGUCUGACCCAGUUUGUUUGGAUUAACCCAAUUUACUAUAAAUAGUUUAAAAACACACUACAAGAAAACACGCCGAAUUCCGACGGAGAUUCCGACGGACUCCAAAAUCGUCGGAAGUUUUUGACGGAUUUCCGACCGAUUUCCGACGAAAACAAAAAAUUUGAAGUCGUCGGAAUUCCGUCGGCCAAUUCCGACGAAUUUCCUAGAAAACAAGGCUCGUCGGAAUUUUCCGACGACUUUUCGACGAUAUUCCGAUAAAACAUAUAACCUCUGUAAGCGUCGAAAAUUCGUCGGAAAAUUCCGACGAAAUUCCGACGACAUUCCGAUUAACAGAUAUAACCGUUACGGUCAUCGGUAUUCCGUCGGCAUUUUUCGACAAAUUUCCGACGAACCAAGUGACCGUUGCCGAUAAAUAUAUAUGACCGUUUUAUAGCCGUUUGAGAUUGGAAAAUACCGACGGAAUUCCGACGGACUGUUUUAUAUCUGUCGGAAUUCCGUCGCAAAGUCGUCGGAUGGCCGUAAGCAAUUUCCUAUAAAUGCAACCCCUCCUCAUUCAACUCAUUCUCACUUCAUUCUCUCUUCUUUCUCUUUAGUCAUAACAAUUCCAUGAAAAUCAUGUCUUCAGGAGCUUAUUAUCGUUCGUGGAUGGAUAAACUUCAUUUGGAUCCCAACACCAAUUUGCUUACGGAAGAAUACGUUAAAGGGAUUGGAGAAUUCAUGAAGCUUGUUCAACAGCAACCGGAUGCAAAAAAUGGUAUGUUAAGAUGUCUCUGCUCUACUUGCAAUAAUAAUAAGGUUAUAAAAGAAUUUGAUGUUUGGACUCAUUUGUAUAUGAAAAGGUUUUCACGUAAUUAUAAAGUUUGGUACCUUCAUGGGAAAACUGGUUAUGAAUAUGGUAGUACUAGCGAACCUCAGCCUGUUAGUGAACUUCAGCCUGAUAUUAGGUUAGAAGAAUCUAGAACGGAUAUAGAUUAUGGUAUAGGUACUGAGCAGAUGGUACAUGAUCAUUAUAGAGGGGAAGAACCAAAUCCCGAAUCUAGGAGAUUUUUUGACAUGUUGGAUGCAGGAAAACAACCUUUGUAUCAAAAUUGUAGAGAUGGUCAUUCAGUCUUAUCAUCUGCAACUAGAUUAAUGGGUAUUAAGACAGACUAUAAUUUGGCUGAAGAAUGUAUGGAUGCGAUUACUGAUUUUAUCAAAGGUAUUCUACCUGAGGAUAACCUUGCACCGGGUUCAUACUACGAGGUUCAGAAACUACCACUAAUAUAUGAGUUGCAACAACUAUGGGCGCAUGGUUUUGAGACAUAGGAUGUUUCGUGCAAAGAAAACUUUCAGAUGCGGGCAGUACUUAUGUGGACAAUAAGUGACUUUCCAGCAUAUGGUAUGUUAUUUGGAUGGACAACACAUGGGAAGCUAUCAUGUCCAUAUUGUCAAGAUGACACAGAUGCUUUCCAACUAAAGAACGGAAGGAAAACGUGUUGGUUUGACUGUCACAGACGAUUUCUACCACCUGAUCAUCCAUACCGCAGGAGUAAGACUUCGUUUACGAAGAACAAGCAGGUGUUUGAUGGUCCACCUGAGGAAGUUAGUGGGAAAGAUUUGUUGAAGCAGUUUAGGUAUUUUGAUGCAGAAAGGACGCCAGAUGUAGGUGGACAUGAAAACAUUCGAGUCAGUGCGGUUGGAGAGCUACAUAACUGGCACAAAAAGAGUAUUUUCUGGGAUCUGCCAUAUUGGAAGAGUCAUCUAUUGCGGCAUAAUUUAGAUGUCAUGCAUAUUGAGAAGAACUUCUUCGACAAUCUGAUGAACACAGUCCUUAACAUCCAAGGUAAAACGAAGGAUAAUUUGAAGUCAAGGUUGGAUUUAGUCGAUAUCUGUGAUCGUGUGGAUGUUAACCUAAGAGGACGAGUGGAUGGAAGUUCUGAUGAUGAUGAACCAUUGUAACCAGAGUCUACCAGCAACGCCCAGGCAGUUGAAGAUUUGGCAAAUGUUGAACUCGUUGAGGAUUUGACUGAGUUUGGACUUAAUGCUGUUGUACAUUCGGAGCCAGAAGCUGAGGUUGGGGAGUUUGAUGAAGAUUCAGAAGAUUCUGAUUAGUUUUUUUUUUUUUUUUUUUGGCAGUUCAGACUUGAUAUGCCUCAUUUGUUUUAGAUGUUUCCGUGGCAUUGAGUUUAUGUUUUCCAUAUGACUGGCUGGCUACACGGUGUUUUUCAGUUGUUGUUACUAGCGUUUUGACAUUCAGACCAAUUAAUUCAACGUGGGUUAUUAGGUAGGAGUAGGACACUUAAACUCAACGUCACGUGUAGGUAUGACUUUGUGAUUAACUAAAACCUUUUUUUUUCUUACGAUUACUAAACGCUAAUCACUAAGACCAAAGAGUAUUAGAUCGCAACCGUUCAAAUAUAACAACUCAUUAAAAUAUUUAUGUAUGCAUAUCAUCUCAUCUCAUCUUAACACUCAUAUACUUAUACAAUCAUAUUCAUCUAAUCUUACACUACAAAAAAUGUUGUUGUGUAAAAUCGUAUUAUAAAAACAUUUUUAUUCUUAAAUCCUUAUGCAAAUACUAUAUAUAUUUUCAAAAAUUUGGAUUUUGCAUUUAGAAACUUGUAACCAACCCUUAAACACUAAGUCGUCGGAAUUCCGUCGAAAAUGGUCGUCAGUAUUCCGUCGGAAUAUACUGACGGAAACUAAUUCCGUCGGAAUUUCAAUUUACCCGGAAAAACCAAACCGCGUGAAAAUUUUUGCGAACCGCCAAUUGGUAUAUAUUUAAUGUACCGACGGAAUACCGACGAACCCAUGUCCAUCGGAAACGUUAAAUAUAAUUACCCUUCUUCUUCCUUCUUCGUUAUUUCCGCCUCUCUCUUCCGUCGGAAUAUACUGACGGAAACUAAUUCCGUCGGAAUUUCAAUUUACCCGGAAAAACCAAACCGCGUGAAAAUUUUUGCGAACCGCCAAUUGGUAUAUAUUUAAUGUACCGACGGAAUANNNNNNNNNNNNNNNNNNNNNNNNNNNNNNNNNNNNNNNNNNNNNNNNNNNNNNNNNNNNNNNNNNNNNNNNNNNNNNNNNNNNNNNNNNNNNNNNNNNNGCUCUUCCGGUUCUUGGAGUUCCUAGAAGACGUCUCUGCAGUUUCUUCCUUCUCCCAAUGAGCUAUCAACUGCUCCCACACCGUCCCGUUGAUGAACCGUGGCCUCUUGUUCUUCUGCCAAACUGUCUUCCACGCGUUUAUCUGCUUCGUAUAAGAGUCCAUGGCCUUUUCGUUGAAUUUCUUACGGACUGUUUCCGUGAGAUCGGAGUGCCAGUUGAACUCUUGCUACAAAACAAACAUAAUUUAAUAAGUAAAUAUAUUAGAAAAAUGUAAAUACUUUAAAAAAAUGAAGAGUUUACCGCAAACUGACUAAACCACAACUCUCGUUCUUCGGAAGGGAUCACACUCCACUUUGGAUAUCCAAAACGAAGCAUGGAGUACAUCAUCUGGUUGAUGCUCCUGCUAAUGCCAUUUCUCGACUUGGUGAACCUUUAAAAAAAAUACAAGUUAGCAAGUUAAUUAAUGGAAAAAAACAUAAUGCUACAAAUAAAAAAAAUACACUAACCAAGUGGUAUGUCCUCGUUGUGGGUUGGGAUGGAGAACCGGAAGAUGCUCUCGACCUGGUUGUUGAACCAAUAGAUCAACUGGCAUGACCCCCGGAUCCUGUUGAGCAGCAGCGGGAGGGGCAGCGGGAGCUGGAACAGGAAUAUAUGCGGGAACCGAGUUUUGUUCGUGAGAUGAUCCCGAUGCACGGGAACUGCUCACCGAGCUACGUCGAAGACGGGCUGCGGGGCGGGGUACAUCCUCUGACCUAAAAUAAAAAUUAAUACAUCAAAAAUCUUUUCAAAUCAUUUCUAUUUUUAAUGUUUUCAUUUAUAUAUUUACAAAAGGUCUUAUAAACGUUUAAAAAAAACAAUUAAACCUUUUAUUAUUCAUAGUUUAUUACUGGAAACUUAUAACGAAAUACUGACGACCAUUUUCGACGGAAUUCCGACGACUUAGUGUUUAAGGGUUGGUUACAAGUUUCUAAAUGCAAAAUCCAAAUCUUUGAUAAUAUAUAUAGUAUUUGCAUAAAGAUUUAACAAUAAAAAUGUUUUUAUAACACGAUUUUACUCAACAACAUUUUUUGUAGUGUAAGAUUAGCUGAAUAUGAUUGUAUAAGUAUAUGAGUGUUAAGAUGAGAUGUUAUGAAAACAAUGAUAUGCAUACAUAAAUAUUUUAAUGAGUUGUUAUAUUUGAACGGUUGCGAUCUAAUACUAUACUAAACACUUAUUAUGUGUUAUUUUCAUAGUUUUGGCAUCUAAAUUUAUAGAUUUUUAUGUAGACUCUGGUUGUUUUUUAGAAACACAUGUCCUCGGUAAUUCGUCGGAAUAUACCGACGACAGUCCGACGAACUUGUCUUGUUCGUCGGAAUGUCGUCGGUAUAUUCCGACGAAUUACCGAGGACAUUUCCAAACUUUAAUGAAACUCUUUGUCGUUGCUAUGUCGUUGGUAUUUUGCAAGGGAUUUCCGACGGACCAAUAAUAAAAAAAAACUAAUCAGAAUCUUCAUCAAACUCCCCAACCUCAGCUUCCGAAUGUACAAUAACAUCAAGUCCAACCUCAGUCAAAUCCUCAACGAGUUCAACAUUUGCUAAAUCUUCAACUGCCUGGGCGUUGCUGGUAGACUCUGGUUGCAAUGGUUCAUCAUCAUCAGCAGUUCCAUCCACUCGUCCUUUUGGGUUGAUAUGCGUUACAGUGACCCAUGGAUCGUCUUUGUACGUCAUCCGAGGGUAACUGAUGUAGCACACCUAUACAUAUCAAUUAUACAAAUAUUAGUAAAAUAUAUAACAUUAAUUAAUUAUAUUGGUAAAAAAUUAUGAAUAGAUUGACAUACCUGAUCAGCUUGCGAACCAAGAAUGAAGGGAUCAUAAUAUUGAAGUUUCCGCCGCGAAUGAACUGAUGUAACACCAAACGCAUCAAUCUUCACUCCUCUAUCUGGGGUGGUGUCAUACCAAUCACAAUAGAAUACUACACAACGCAAUCCAACCAUUCCAGAAAAUUGGAUUUCCAAUAUUUCUUUUAUGUUGCCGUAGUAGACAUCGUCACCAGAAGAAGAUGAAACACCAGCAUCAUAUGUUGUCUUAGAAUGACCUUUCCUUGUGAAUGCAUAUCCUCGCGUACAAAAUUUAGGAUAUGAUUUGACCACAUAGUUUGGUCCCUGCACAAAUUCGCGUAUCCAAUCAUCGAACACAAGACCUCUGGCCAAACCAUCAUUCACCUAUAAAAAAAAACAUUGUGCCACUAUAGAUCCUUCCACCCUGCUUUGAUUUUUGACCAUCUUCUUUAGAUGAUGCAUAUAACGCUCAAAAAUAUACAUCUAUCUGUACUGCACAGGACCACCAAGUUCCAAUUCUCUUGCGAGAUAAAUAACAAGAUGUUCCAUUACAUCAAAGAAUGAUGGAGGAAAUAUCUUCUCGAAGUUGCACAUGCUGACUCGUGCGUUUGUCUUCAAAUUAUUAAUACCCUCUUCAGUCACUACUCUGCUGCAUAAGUCGCGGAAGAAAACACUUAUCCCUACAUAGAUAGAAGACAUAAUUUUCAUUAGUAUUAAGUUUAUAUAAGCAUAAAUGUUAAAUAUAAAAAUAAACUAAAUUGUAAAAAUAUAAGAUACCUGCAAUUGCUUCAUGAACAUUCUGACGCGACGAACCCCUAAGAACUUCUUCGCUCUGGCGGCUCAUCGGUUCUACGACGUGCGCUUGCUAUUUGAGGAUUAUGGUGGGGCCAGUGGUAGACCCAAUUUUUUUUUACCUGAGUCAUGAUUUGUACUGUAAGUCCAAACUGUAUCAAAAAGCUCAGAUUAUAGCAUGAACGUUUUCAAAAAAAGUGAAACAGGUGUAGGAAGAGGUUUUGAAGCCAGGUUAGGAAUGUCAUAGUCUGAAACCCGAAAUCAUUCGAGCUGUUUACGAAUAUAUUGAAUAAGGCUUGCAAAUUAAAAUUUUAAAUUAAACCGGUGUUAGUUGACCCCCAUUUCCUCUGUAUGGUCAGCCCUUGGGUGAGACCGUCGAAUCCUGCUAAAGAUAUCUCCAAACUCAACUCUAUUUUUUCCUCCAAAAUGAAAUAUAUAGUAAAAAAUGCUCCACCCACUUCAUUUUCCACUCUAUAAUGGAGUUUAAUUUAUUUUUUGUUUGUUAAUCACUGAGAAAUGGAGUAGGGUUAAACCAUUUUUACUCUAUUCUUUUUAUAUAGGAGAUGCUCUAAGUUAGUCAUCGGGGCUGGUUGGGCUGGUUAUGUCUUCAAAGGUGGAGAACUCGGUGACAGAAGAUCUAUAUUGGGAUGGUGGUUUCCAGCAAUGUGCUUCUCGCUGUUCCAGAUCAUUCUCAUCCAAGCUCGAAGAAGGAAAGAUACAUCAGAUAUUUGACUUGUGCAGGGGCAAAGGACGUGAACAGUGUAUAGCAUCUAAGAUUUGGAGCCGUAUCUUCUCUCAAAGCUGGGGAUUGGGGCCGUGGAACACCUCUGUGGAUGUUUGCAAGGUUUCUGGUGCCGUUUCCUGAUCUGGGUUUCGACACAAUAGAUAUGUGAGGUUGUCGAUCGAUGAUCAGAGUUGACACCAGGAGCGGAUGUAGGAUGCUAAUUAGUAGGGGGCACAAUGAUUUUUUCCAUUAUGAUUUAGUUUUAGUGUGAAAGCAUUCAAUAAACCCUAUAGUAUUUAGCAAAGAAAAUUUCAAAACAGUUGGGGGCACGUGCCCCGUACCCGUUAUCUUGCGUCCGCCCCUGGUUGACACCUGUGUCCACCGGAGUGGGUAGGCUUAUGCUACCACAGUUUUCUUUCCCUCAGCUUCUACUCUGUUUACUUAGAUUUGUAAUGUCAUUAGUUUUAGCCUAUGUAACAUAGAUUUCUCACUGUUUCUCCGUUAAGCCGGAAUUGUACAAAUUAAAUGCUUUGUUGGGGAUAAUUUUAAUAUACAUAUUUUAAUUUUUCAAAAGUUAGAUGGAGUUGGUAAUCAUUGUUCAUAUAAUUAUUACGUUAUUUUUUUAAUGUAUUAGGGCAUCUCCAACACCAUUACAUUAUACAUUAUGAUUAAGUCACGUAGGUAUUCUUGGAGCUCAGUGAAGAGACUUAAUUAGGAGAAAAGGAAGAUAAGAAAAACUAAUCAGUGUCCGAUCCUGGUUGUUUUUGAAUUAACCCAAUUCACUAUUUUUAGUACUAUUUUUAGUAUUAUUUUGCGACUUAUUCUUGGAAAACCUAUAGGUUCACCAACUAAUAGGAUUGUGUUAUUUCAUAUUUAAUACUUCCUCUGUUUUUAAAACAUGCAUAUUCUAGACUUUUCACAUAUAUUAAGAAAACUCAUUAAAUAUUUAUUAAUUUUUGUGAAUAACAAUUUUCCAUAACUUUUAGCCAAUAGAAAUUCAAUAAAUACCAUUAAUUUUUUUGAAACUUACAAUUUUUCAUAAAAUCAUACAUUGAAAAGGUAAAAAAUGUAUCUUUUUGAAACAAAUUUUUUUUCCAGAACAUACAUCUUUUAGGAACGGAGGGACUAUCUUUUAUAAAAAGAAAUAAAUAUUGUCAAGUUAUAUUAUGUUUUUAAAAUAAAAAGAUAAAAAUAAAAAAUAAAAAAUAGUAGUAAUUACAAAAAAAAUAUUUUUAACGUCGUCUGCAAAGCAUUAAACCCUAAAUCCUAAUCUCUAAAUUCUAAAUCCUAAACCCUAAACCCUAAACCCUUGGGUAAACCUUAAACCCUUAGAUAAAUCCUAAUUCUAAAUAAAAAACACUAAAUAGUAAAAUCCUAAAGUUUUAGGGUUUUACAGUUUAGUGUUUUUGAUUUAUAGUUUAUGAUUUAUCCAAAGGUUUAGAGUUUAUGAUUUAGGGUUUAGGGAUUAGAAUUUAAGGUUUUGUGUUUUGCUGACGAAGUUAAAAAUAUUUUUUUAAAAUUUUUUUUAACUACUAUUUUUUUUAUCUUUUUAUUUUAAAAACAUAAUAUAAUUUGACAAUAUUUUGUUUCCUUUUCUAAAAAAUAUAGAAUUUGAAAUAAUAAAUUUUAUUAGUUGGAGAACCUAAAGGUUCACCCUAGGGGAUGAACCUAAUAAUAACUUUUGUUUUGCCUCUUUUACCUUAAGCACCAUUUUAACUCUAUUUUUUUUAAUUAUUGAGUUGCUUAAUAUUUAUCUAGUGAAGUUUAUAUCAUUUUCUUUUAUUCAGGGAAGUUUUAAAAUCCUUUUACUUUGAUUUUCUUUAAUCAUUGAAGUUUUAAUUAUUUAAUUUUCUUCAGUCAUGUCUUGCGUUAUAUUAUCUUAUCUUACGUUACUUUGCUUUCAUGCAACUAGUCUAGUUAUAAAUUUUUUGCUAAGUAGAUAAAUAUGGAUCAAAUGGUUGUAUAUAUGAGGCUCGUUCGUGUUUUUAUCAAAUCCACUAAAUUAGAACAAGUUCAUGUCAGCGAUGAUAAGAUGAUACCGGACGAAGAUGUCUUUAAUGUGAUCGGAUCACAUCACAACAAUCUGCUGGUGGAUCAUCUCAUUUGCCAGAACUUGAAAAUCUCAACGACAAGAUAAUCCAGUUUUUUUUUAAAGAAUACUUUCAUGCCUUGCACAAGAUGUGACAAAUUUAAAAUUAGGGUUGGACAUUCUACCCAUACCCGAAUCUAAAUCUGAACCCAACCUAAAAAUUCAAACCAAAAUCCAAAGCAAAGUUACAAAAUAUCUGAACAGGUAUUGAGUUAAGAGAUAAUGGAUAUUCGAACAUGAACGUAUUAUCCGAACCUGACCCGAUAUGUAAGAAUAUCUGAAUGAGUCUAGAUCCUUGUAUCAAAAUAUCCAAAAAUUUGAAAUAUUCAGUCGAGCACGAACGGAUACCUAAACGUCUAUAUCUAGUAAUAUAAACAUCAUAAAUUUUUAACAAAAAUAAGCUAUUUAAGGCCCAAUUAUUCUUAUGACAUUAUCAAUCAUAUGGUUUAUGUAUGCGAAAUAAAUUAAGAGACUAUGAAAUAGCAAACAAUAUUCACUAAUAAGAGGUCUAUAAUACAUGCAUAUGAAACAACCUUUGUCUACCGAAAGUCAGCUACCAAAUUUCAUACAUAUGUUCAGUUAUUGUGAAAUUUGUUUUCUAACAUUAUAUAUAUUUGGUAUCACAACAAAAUGGUGCCAGAAUUUUAAUUUAGCUACUCUCGAUGCAACAAUUACAAAACUACUUAAGUUUGAGUUUACAUUCUUUCAACCAGUACGGAGCUCUUAUCAUAUAUUUAAGUCAUAUUUCCUUUACCAAGCUCUUUUUUUUUUUUUUUUGUCAACUUUGAAAUUUAUUAAACAAGUUCAUAAUUUACAAUAAAGGCCCAAGAGAAGGGCUAGAUUAAAAAGACCCAACGAUGCAAACAGUUGGCCCAAACGCAAAAGAAAGAGGAGGCCCAUGAGGAGCGGUCCAAAGUUUUUCAAGGCAACAACUGCCUUUGCGGUAAAGACGACACGAGAGAAAGCUUGAAACACGCGUCAAGCUCUGGAUGAAAAAAGAACACGUGCCGCUUGAGUCAAUCCACCGCUUCAACGCCGACGGCAAUUCUUCCCCGGAACUCCAACCACCGGAAGACGAAAACGUCCAACGACGAAGGGAGAUAGCUCAUUGAAGAGCACUCGUUGAGAACGGAAUCGAAGCCGACAUCAGUUAACAAACCACCACUUCGAUAAAGAGGAAUCGAGCGCUGCGAUCGAUCUAAGAGAACAGAUUCACCUGUAAAUAAAAGCAGUCACCUUUAUAGAUAAAGAGUAGCUCGAAGGUGAAAGAGCCCAAUAAAGGGAAGGAGAGAACAAUCAGAUCCUUAGAUGGAGAGACAAUCGAAACCGAAGGAGAGCAUAGUGAAGCGGAGGCGAAGAGAAGAACCAAAAAAACAGAGGAACCGGUAUGAACCAGUUCCAAACCGCUAACAACACCGCCACAAAGGAUGGUGAGAUACGAGACAGAAGCCGACGAAGACGGUGCUAAGGAAGCCACCGCUUUUCGGAGGCAAGAGCCGGCGAAGUCGACGCUAAGUUAGCUAUCACUUCCCGGAAUCAAAAGCUGGUGAAGACAUUGUUUAUGGGAACCACAGCUUCCUAGAGACAACCAUCUGAUCUAUUGAUCAGACAAACAAAAAGUUUUGAGAACUCUCAUCACCACCUCCGUGAAAGAUAUCAGAGAGAGAACGGAGGGAUAAGAGAGAAACUCUUUUUUUUACGCAAGCUCUUAUGCGAAUAUAUUUCAACCAGUACGGAGCUCUUUUUUCCAAGUCAUAUUUACAGUUUACCCAUAAAAAUAUUUCAUUAUUUAUUACGGGAGCAAUCGGAAACCAUAAUACGAAAAAUACAUGAAGGAAAAAGGUGAUGCAAAGAAAGACCGGAAGUUCUUUUAUUUGCUAGCAGAUUCUUGACCAAAUUAAGAUCGAUGUAAUAUUAUUCAUUAAGCCUUGUUGGAGAAGUUUUCGCUGUUGCUAUCAACAAGGUAGAGGGACUCAUGCAGCCGAGGAGUAAUGAAGACUUCAAGAGGAGUGGCUUUGAGAUUGACCAAGUUGUUGUCCUCCGUCAUGUCCACGUUUUGGUUUGAUGGGUUUGCCACGUCAAAGCUGUGUAAGAACCUAGCCAGGAUGUACUGAACCAUCUUCGUACCUAAAAGAGAUGCGGGGCAAGCUCGUCGUCCUAACCCAAAUGGAAAGAGCUUAUGAUUCAUCUUCCCACCAACAUCCACUUCUUUGUGAGAUGUCAAGAAUCUCUCUGGCUCGAACUCUUCCGGGUUUGGCCAAAUAGUCGGAUCUCUCUGGACCUUCCACUCAUUUACCAUCACGUGUGUCCCUAAUAAUGAAUCAUACAUCAAAUAGUAGAAUACAAAUUAAUAAUUAGUUUUUUAUAUAUAGUUAUAAGAGAAAAAACAGAAUUACUGUAUCAAAAAUAUAACCUGCGGGAAUAUGAAAGUUGCCAUUGGCAAUGACAAAAUCUUCGGUCGUUUCCCUAUAAGCGACGAAGGGGGCUGGAGGGUACAAACGAAAUGUUUCCUUGACAAUGGCUUGGAGAUAAACCAAGUCUUUGAGGUCGGACUCCUCCACUACUCUCUGAUUACCGAUUGUGCGGUCCAACUCUUCUUGAGCUUUCCUCAACACGUGCUGGUUGUUCACGAGCAACGAUACAGCCCAAACUAGAAUCGCAACAACUGCAUCGCUCCCAGAAAUAGCCAUGUUCUUUCGUACACACAAAAAGAAAAAUCCGACUUCAUUUUCAUGUGAGUUAAUAUGGUGUGCAAAAAAAGUAUUAGAGAACCACAUAAAACAAAUAGAGCAACUUUGUUGGUUGAGUGAGAUCUUCUUACAAGGCAGACGGCUUUAGCGGUUUUAUGAGCAUCACUCGAGCCUAGAAUCUUGUGUUGUUCAAUGCUCUCAAGGACCAUGUCCAAGUAAUCCUUUUCACUCUCUCCCCUCUUAUUCUUGUGCUCUUCAAUCCAAGAUUCAAAAACACAGUCCAACUCUUGAGCCAUUCUCUUCAUUAUCUUCUUUUCCUUCCAUUCCAACCAACCCAGGUAUGGUAUAAAAUCAGAUAUAGAGUAGCGACCGAAGUUCUGGACUGCCUCCAGAAUCAACUUCCCGAUUCUUCUUGCUUCUCCCGCUUCGCAGUUGGGACUAUUCCCGUAAUAUCUCUUCCCCGCGACCAUCAUCACCGUCAUGUUUGUGGCGACAUUGAUAAACUCUGGCUUCAUGUCCACCAAGACUCCUUUUUGAUGAGGCCGACCAUUGUGCUGCUCCCACCUCACGUACAAGUCUCUGAACGCCACGUCAACCUCUCCGGCUCUACGACCCUUUAACGUAUCAACCACUGAGGCUGACAUAAGUUGUGAUAUCACUAUCUUCCGUAUCUCUCUCCAGUACGCUCCCUGAGGACUAACCAACGGGAGCAAGCCAUCGUAUCCUAAAAUUUCACCUGCAAUCAUGUCUUGUCGACGUAAGAACUUGUCGUGGACGGUGUAGACUUCUCUAGCCACCUCUUCGCUGCUUAUGACCAGGGCGUUGCGAGAACCAAUUUUCGUCAUGAACGCGGGUCCGUACACAUCGGCCAUGGCCCCGAACGCAACAUGUGCUUGUGGCUUUACAGAGCGAUACAUUGGUAAAUGGCCGACCACCGGCCAUGCUCCGGGGACCAUAGGCGCUGUACCUUUACUCUUCUUUGGACGAAGUAUCAAGAAACAAAGAGGGAUAAGGGAGAGAGCAAAGAGAAGAAACAGCUCAUUGAAAUCCAUGUUUGGUUCUGUUAUUACGACUGCUUGGGUUGGGUCUAUAUAUAUAUAUAUAUAGACGAACCGUCCAUCGAUAUUUUUAUUGUCAAACCUACUACAGGAUAAUUAUUUUUAAGGGCUGUAUUUAAUCAGUGGAUGAAUGAGGUUGGUGGGAAUAAAUAUAUAUAGUUGGUGAAUUAUGUUUUGGCUCUAUUUUUAUUAGAUUAAAGUUUUAUUUGUUUUUCAAUAAAAGUUCAACCACUCAUAUUUUAUAUUUCAACUUAUUUUUUAAUUUUAAAAUAAAAAACCUUUAACACCAUUCUUUUAAAUAUCAAAUGCACACGUGUUCUUAUAUAUCUUAUUUUUAUUAUACUAUAUUUGAAAAUGAUUAAAUAUUAUGGAAGAAGAGAGCAUUGGGAAAAAUAAAGGGAGAAUUUGCUCAAUAUACAAAACACUAAUGGAAAUGAAGAAUAUAUCAGUGAUUUUGACAUAAUUCAUUCGCUAACAUUUAGGCAAAGAAAAGUCCGGUUUUGUCCUUUCAAUGUACAAGUUGCCGGUUACUGGUAGAGAUGACGUGGUCGUUUAGCAUCACACGAGAGACCGAAGACAACGUCACCAAUUUAUUUACCAUAUGCAGAAAAAGAUAACACACUGUCAAACAGAAUGGAAAACAAAUAUACAGUAUAGUAAGUAAUUUCAAAUAGAACAUAAUCCUAUAGAUAAUGCAAAUAUAAUAUAGAUUUAACACAACAUACGUAAAUAAUGAACCACCGAAUCCUCCUAUACUCAAAUCUCUACUUAAUAAAUCUAAACCCUAGGUAAGAUCCUAUAAACCCAAAUACAAUCUAUAAACAAUUAUAUAUAAAGAAAAUAAUAUAGAGAAACGUAAAGAAUAGAAUACUAUAUCUAAUAGUAUAGUAACCUUACAUAAAUAACCGUAAUAAUAAUACAUACUAUACUAUAAUUCUAACGAAUAUAGUAUGGUCUGCAACUUCAUCUUCUUCCCCUCGUCCUUUUUUUCAGACAUAAUAUAGCGGUAUACACUAUGUAAGUAGAAGUAUGUACUAUGACACUGAUAUGGAAUAGAAUCAACCAUACUAUACGACACUGAAGCCACAAACUUGCGGUUCCAGGGCUUUACAGAUACCGAUUGCGGCAUGCAAUCUCAAUUUUGAUUCAUCUACUCUUAGACUGGGACAUGCAGUAUCAAUCGUUGAAUAUAUCAGAAACAAAAAGACUAACCUAUGCAAUUUUAUGACUACUACUGUAUGUUGAAGAAAUCGUCACCGAACUCACUGACAAAAGCCCAUAAAUCCCACAACACACAUGACGGACGGUGUGAGUAGAUCUUAAAUAACGAUGCUUAUGACUCUUCGUAGACCCUUCACCGCAACCAGUCACCGGAAACGCUUUUAACAGUGAAACUAAUUAAUUUUAUCUUCCAAAAAUAACAGUUAAUGUGUGAGUGAAGAUGAAGAGGCCACGAUGUCAAAGAAGAAAAGAUGAAUUUUUUUUUUAUUUUAAUUCUAGCCGGUUGCGAGUGGGGUAUAAAGGUAUUAUUAUAGAAAAUAUACGGUGUAUCGUUGUGUUUUAGGGUAAAGAGCUACUGACUUAAUUAUAAUUUUUUUCUGUGCUAUAGAAUCCAAUUUCCCAAAAAUAAACUCUGAACUUUAUUUCUCGUGACUAUAUCUUUCAAACUUUACAGUAGUAUGUAUUUCAUUUUGAACUCAAUAAAAAUUCAGAAAUACUACAUAAAAUUUGUACUUUGUUCAUUUCCGAACUUUGUAGUAAUACAUAUUUCAUACUAAAUUAAACAAACAUUCAAAAAUAUUAUAUAAACUCUCAAAACCGUGCCGUCAAAUUUUUAAAAUAAUAAAUUUUCAAAAAAAAUUUAUUAAUCUAAAUUGUUACUUUUAAAAUUAUUAAAAAUUGAAAAAUCUUUGUAAAAAUUUAAUUGUAUUUUAAAUAAAUCUUUAUAUGCAUAAACAACACAAAAUCCUAAUUUUACAAUAUAUUUGAAUAAGAAAAUAUUAAAAUUAAUAAAUUAAUUUAAAUUUAUAAAAUAGUGAUUUUUUAAAUUUAAAUUUUAAAAACAUAAGAAAUCUUAUAUUUAUUUAAUAAAACUAAAACAUUAAUUUUUUAUAACAUUUAUCUGAUUAAACUAAAACUUAUAUAUAAGUCAAUGUUUACACAUUUAUAAAAGAAAUUUACUUUGGUAUAUCAGUUAAUAUGCUCUUACGUAUCUAUCAAUGUGAGAGUUUGAAUCUCCCAAAAACUAAUUUUAAAUUUUACAGAAUUUAUCAUUUUUUACAGAAACUAUCCAAAACAAAAUGACGUCAUUUUGAUAAAAUUAUCUUUGACGGUCAAUAUAUAUAAGAAAGAUUUUGAGAUUUUAUGUAGCAUUUUUAAAUUUUUAAUUUUAAAAAUUUAUGAAAAAUAAUGUCGUUUUGAUAAAUUAAUGAUAGAAUAACAUCAUCAAGAGUCAAUACAUAUAUUAUAUAUAAGCACGAUUUUGAGAGUUUAUGUAAUAUUUUGAAUUUUAGUUUAGUUCGAUAUAGAAUAUAAUCCAUAAAAUUCAUGUAUUUUUUUUUAAUUUUUGUUUAGUUCAGUAUAAAAUACCUAUAACAAAGUUAUGGAAAAACUAGUCAUGACUUGGCUUAUCCAUGAAUGCUAAAUAUCAUGUUGAAAUAAACUCUUUUUCCAGAGUCAUGACUUUGGCAAAGUGUAUGUGAUUCUUCUAUAUUUUAUUCUUGUUUUCUGUACAUCUAUAAUUACAGAGGGAAAGACUUUUGUAUAAGGAGUCAUUAAUUCAUGAAAAUUAGUUAGUGAGAAGAGUUGGCCAAAUGAGUUAAGUGGGAAAUAAAUAGACAAUCAUAUAUUUUAAGAAAAUUUAAUUUUUAGUUUUCUUUAAAGAGUUUGUUCGCUUCGUGUUCACUCAUUGUGGCAUCUAUCAAAAAGAAAAAGAGUUAUUCAAAUUCGUCCUACUAGUUACUGAUCUAUCAAAAGGAAAAAAGACUUAUUCAUAUCCCUUCUACUAGUUACUGAGAAAAUAAAUAUUUAAGUUAUAUUAACACGCCAUUUUUUACUAUUAACAAUAAUUAUAUUCUGACCUGCCCUUUGAAAGAGCGGGUAUAUUUUUUAAUUUUCUUUAAAAAUUUAAUUUUUAUAUUUAUUUUUGUUAUUAUAAUCAUAUUUGUGCUUUUUUUUGUAAUCGCAUCUACGUAUAAAUUUAAGCAAAAUCUAUUUUAUAAAAUAAUAGUAAUUUAAAAGUUAUAUGUUCGGUUCUUUGUAAUCAUAUGUCCGUAUAUCUGUUUUUUGUAAUCAUAUUUGUAUGUUCUAGAUUUUGACCCGCAGGUAUAAUGUCGGUUUGUAAUAUUUUUUUUAUGUUUCUAUAAUUAUGUAACAUUUUGGUCGAGAUCUAAAUAGAAAAAUAUGAUUACAAAGAAAAAACGUAUGCCGAAUCAAUUUUAAUUGUUAUUAUUUUAUAAAUAGAUUUUGAUUAAGAUUUAUGCACAUGUACAAUUACAAAAAAAAAUACAAAUAUAAUUACCAAAAUAAACAAAAAUAUGAAAAUUAAUUUUUUUGAAAAAUAUGAAACAAAAAAUAUACUCACUUUUUCAAAGGACGGUCAGAAUCUAGUUAAUCAAAUUAAAAGUUAAAAUUCUAAAAAGAAAAAUGUUGAGGUUAUUGAAUAACACAAAAGAAAUAAAAAAUUUGGGUGGAAUACUAUUGAAAGUAGUAAACGUAAUUUUGGUAAAGGAAAAAAUAAUUGUUAUGUACUAUAUAACUGUUGGAUAAUAUAAAUAUUAGAAAGAAGUUGCCACCGAUAAUUUUGGACAGGAAGUUACAAAAUAUGUAUUGACCCAUAUAAGGUAGUUUGGGAGAUACAUUUUGCUUAAUAGGGUCUGUUAAUUUUAAGCAAAACUAAAUCUAGUAAAUGAAUUUUAAUUAGUUUGAAUGAUUAAUUAUUUUUAUUAAAAAUCAUUUUAAACUUGAUAAGCAAACUCAUAUUAACGUCAAUACUAAACUGCACAAAGAAAAUCAGUCAAAGUCAUUCAUUAUCAUUAUAUUGUUGAGGAAACCUGUAUUUUAUAAGGGAAACUGACUAAUUAUAUACAACAAUUAGGCACCUGCUGUCAAAUUAUAUUGUGGCAUCACGCAUGAAAAAUAUGAUUACACUUAGCUUUAGUUGUAUAUAUUAGUCGAGCAUAUAUUAGUAAUUUAUUUCGCAUGCUCAAAUAAACUAUUUAUUUUAUCCAAAAAAAUAUCGACUGUUAUGUGUAUGAGAAAAGUGAGUCUUGAAACAUUGGAAUUUGUUGUAUCAACCGGUCUUUCAUUAAAUGUCCUUAAUAUACUUGAAAUUGAUACAAACUUUGGUUUAGCCAAACCACUUAAUUACACAUAAAAAGACAGGAUUAAAAGAGAUAGUGGAGGACGUGGGGCUAAGAUAAAAAUGCAGUUAUAUUUUGUAGUUAUAUUUAGAUGUUGUAUAUUUUUAAAAUAGACUGAACUAAUAUCAAUGAAACAUGUUCCUGUUUUGAUAGUAUUGACAUGAAUCUCACAUUUACAUUCAUUAUAAACAGUUUUAAGAUACCUUAUAACCAAUAUAUGUCUGUGCAUACUAAAGUAGAUAAUUGGGAUAAUUUUGAAUAUUUCGAACAAAAAUAUUUGAUUAAUUUAUUACUUUGGAUAAUUCUGUUUAUAAAUAGUAUUUUUCGGAUAUUUUUUUAUUUAAAAAUUAAAUAUAGUUAAGAUUUGUAGGUAUAUAUAUUUGGAAAUUAAUAAAAAAACUAUUUAUUAGAAAAGUUUUCUCUUUUUUUUUUGUAAACUCUGAGAAUGAUGUCGUUUGCGUGAUAACAGGAUAGUUACGUAGCUGAGGAAGAGGUGAAUUACCCGAAGGAUGUACCUAAAGAGCAGUUAUCAGAGCAUCUCCAAAAAGAAACUCUAUUUUGAAGUUUCUAAAACUCUAUAUUUGAAGUUUAUAGAUGAUUUUCUCCAAAAGCAAAACUUCAAACUCAACUUCAAAACUAUUUGUAUUUUAUAAUAUAGUCCUUAUAUUUUUUAUUACUAAUUUAAAUUCAUAAAACUUUUAUAAAUAACUAGCACAUAUAUAAAAAUAUUACAAUAAUAUUAAUUAAUAAAAUAUUAUAUUAAAAUAUAAAAUUUUAAACAUAAUAACUUAAUUAAUAUUAAACAUUAAGGAAAAUACCAUAUUAUUUCAUAAAGUGAUUUUUGUAAUGCAUAUAUGAUCUACUAGUGCAUUACGAAGUAAAAAUUGCUCUCUUCAUUUUUAAUUUGUAGAUUAGAGAUAAAAAUUGUUGAAAUCGGAUGAUAUUAAUACUUGUAAAUACAUUAGAUCAGAACAAGAAAAUAAAAAAAACAUAAAAUAUUGCUAAAAGACUAAUUUUUAUCGAUGAUAUUAAUAUUCGUGAAUAUAUUCAAUAAUUACAAGAAAUAAUUGCACGAAAAGACAUUAUCAUCAACAACAACAACAACCAUCUUCAGUUACACAAAAGAAAACUAAACAAUAUUUGAAAAUUUUGAAAGUUCCGGAUCAAACUUACCUGACUAUUAGAGUUGUUUUAAUAUUUAAAUUUGUGUAGUAGUCAUGUCUUUAUGUAAUUUUUUAAAAGUUUUUUGGGUUAAGUUUAUUUUGUAUAUUUUUGUUAUCUAAAUCCAGUUUUAAAUAUUUUAAAUCUUAAUUUAAUGUUUUAUUUAAUUUUAUGUAUAAACUUAAAUUUUGUAAACAAAACUUAAAAUAUUUAUGAGAUAUAAUUUUUAUAAGGAUUAAAAAAAUAAACAAGAAAAUACUUAUGAAAUUAUAAAUGUGAUGUGUAAUUGUAGGGACCAAAAUGCAAAUAAAAAAUGAAAUUUCAAAUUUGAAGUUUUGAAUAGUGAAACUUCAAAUAUGAGUUUCACUCCUCAAAACUUCAAAUUUGAAGUUUUGAAGUUCUUUUUUGGAGAGCAAAAAACUUCAUAUUUGAAGUUAUAGAGUGUCUUUUGGAGAUGGUCUCAGAGCUGUGUGAACUGAACGAUCUGUUGGACGAGAUUGGUCCAAGGUUUCUUGACUGGACAGGGUGUGCUCCUUUGCCUGUUGAUGCAGACUUGCUUCCUCCGUUGGUUAUGAGAUACAAGUGUCCGUUUAGGAUCCUUCUGCAAGGAGUGAAGCCUUAUUUGUCUAAUAAAGAAAUGACGGAUAUGCGUCGGCUCGCCAGGACUACCCCUCCGCAUUUCGCUCUAGGUAUGUGCAUACAGUUCAUAUCUUAUAUGUGUUCCUGAGUGAAGGGGGUGGGUGUUUCGAUUUAAAUUCGGGUUCAGUUUGGUUUGUUUGGGUAUAAAAUUUUUGUAACCAAAGUCAGUAAAUAAUAAAAAGCAUUCGGAAAAAUUAACAGACCGAUCGUCGGAUGGGAUGGGACCCACGGACCGAGAGAGCGAACGUGGGUAGCCCAUUAACCGUGGACGAUCGGGACACUACAAAACCGUUUCUGUUUUACCUCCAACUUUGAUGUUAAAAAAAUUUCACAGAUAGAUUCAUCAGCCUUUGUCGUCAAUCAACAAUAUCUUCUUUCUUGCUUCAGGCUUCAGUUUAAUUACUUAGUUCCUCCUGACACAAUCAUAAAAAUUACAUGAGAAUAAAAUAAGUUAUAUAGAUAUACUAUAAUAAAAAUCAUCGGGGAAAAUUUUUUCUAUCCAUUUAAAAAUAUUUUAACUACAUGAAAUCAAAGCGCAUCUAUCUUAUAUAUUAAAACAGAAGUCAGAACCUUGAUUCAUGUGUGAUUUUUUAAAAAAUGAACCUAAUGGACCUAUUCAUAGAAAUUCAUACUAUAUUUUAAUUCAGACUAAUAAUAAAUAUAAUUUUUAAAAUAUUUUAAUCAUAGUAUCUUUUGAUAUCUUUUCAUUUUAAAUAUAAAUAUAUUUAUUUUAAAAUUCUAACAAAUCUGUUUAAAAAGAUUUUUACAAGAUCUUCAUUUUCGAAAUUAUAUUUAAAUAUUUUCACUAAUUUCAAAAUUAGUUUAAAAUAUUAUUAUACAUUAAUAUAUUCAGUUAUAUAAAAUGAAAAAUAAAAAAAUCUAUAAUAUUUUAUUUAUUAAAAUUAUAUUCAACUGAUAAAUUUAUAAAUUUUAUUUUCAUAAAUAUAAACUAUUUAUUUAAAAUAUAAUAUGAUGACAGAACAUCUUAAAAUUAACAAACUAUAUAAUACAUGUCUAAAAAUUAACAUAUCUUACACUUUUAUAUAUACAAUAAUAAAUUAUCUAAAAUGAAUAAGCAUAAAAAUAUUGGUAAAAAGAAAUCCAGUUUUGAAAUACGGGUCAGAAUUUAGCAUAAAUUAAAUACAAAAUAUUUUUUAAAUAUAUUUUCUCAUGAAUAUAUUAAUUUGCUUAAUAACUAAAUGCAAAUAUAAUAAGAUAAAUAUAUAAUAAGAAGUUGCAAAUACAUAAUAAGGUUUAAACAAUUAAUUAAUUAUAACAUGUAAAUUAUAAAAUUAUUGUAUUUGAAAUAGUCAUAUAAAUAUUUAAGUAUAUGAUUAAUAUUAAAAUAUAUACCACUUAUGUUCUAAAACAAUAAUUUAUGUAUAGAAAAAUGAAAACAAACACCCGUGCGGUUGCACGGAUCAAAAUCUAGUAUACAAUUAAUAUAAAAAAUGAUAUUAAGUCUUUUAGGUUGAACCACUCUACUCGUUUUAUAUAUAGUAUGUCUUAUCUGGCUGAUUAUUCCUUUUGCCAACUAGGAAGAAAUAUGCAAUUACUAAGUUGUAAUUAACGUGUAACAGGUGUACAAUUCAAAAUUAACCCGACGGGCAACGGGUGUCUGCACACAGUGUUAGGAAAUUUGGUAAUUGCAUAAGUCUUUGUCUAGUUGUUUCUUAGUCAAAUAAGUCCGAGUCUUUCGGAAGUCUCGUUGAGAUAAGUUAGUCGAGUUAGUUCCUGCAAUCAUAAAAAUUACAUGAGAAUAAAAUAAGUUAUAUAGAGAGAUAUACUAUAAUAAAAAAAUUUCUAUCCAUUUAAAAAUAUUUUAACUACAUGAAAUCAAAGCAUUUAUAUACAAUUAAUAUAAGAAAUGAUAUUAUGCCUUUUAGGUUGAACCACUCUACUUGUUUUAUAUAUAGUAUGUCUUAUCUGGCUGAUUAUUCCUUUUGCCAACUAGGAAGAAAUAUGCAAUUACUAAGUUGUAAUUAACGUGUAACUGGUGUACAAUUAAGCCAUGAAUUAAAACUAACCCGACGGGCAACGGGUGUCUGCACACAGUGUUAGGCAAUUUGAUAAUUGAAUGAGUCUUUGUCUAGUGUUUUCUUAGUCAAAUAAGUCCGAGUCUUGGAAGUCUCGUUGAGAUAAGUUAGUCGAGUUAGUUCCUACAAUCAUAAAAAUUACAUGAGAAUAAAAUAAGUUAUAUAGAGAGAUAUACUAUAAUAAAAAAUUUCUAUCCAUUUAGAAAUAUUUUAACUACAUGAAAUCAAAGCAUCUAUAUACAAUUAAUAUAAGAAAUGAUAUUAUGCCUUUCAGGUUGAACCACUCUACUUGUUUUAUAUAUAGUAUGUCUUAUCUGGCUGAUUAUUCCUUUUGCCAACUAAGAAGAAAUAUGCAAUUACUAAGUCGUAAUUAACGUGUAACAGGUUUAUAAUUAAUCCAUGAUUUAAAACUAACCCAACCAGGUGUACAAUUAACAGGUGGACAAUUCUUUUAAAUUAAAUUGAACAUUUGAUUUUUUUUUUAAACAAAUUCUUGCUAGUUAGAAAAAAAAAACUCUUGCUGGUUAGGUGAUAAAAUACAAGAUUUAGCAUCAUAUAUUAAUCAUCUAAUCUUAUGCUUAGCCUACAAUUCAUAACUAACUAGACUAGUUGCAUGAAGGCAAAGUAGAAUAAGAUAAUAUUAAAUACAACAAAUUUUUAAAACUUGAUAAAUAAAAGAUAAUGCAAGACACGAUUAAAUAAAAUUAAUGUAAGAUUAUUUAAAAGUCACUAAAUAAAAUAGACUGCAAAACGUGGUUAAAUAAAAUGAAAGUAAGAUUAUUUCAAAUUCACUAAAUAAAAUAUACUGCAAGACAUGAUUAAAGAAAAUUAAAGUAAGAUUAUUUUAAAGUUCACUAGAUAAACACUAAGCAACUCAAGAUCCAGAAACAACUUAAAAAUUGUGCUUGAGGUAAAAGAGGCAAAACAGUAUUAAAACUUACGUUUAGAAGACAUGUUGUAAACUAUUUAUAGUGAAUUGGGUUAAGUCCAAACAAACUGGGGCGGACACUGACUUCGAUCUUCUUGUCUUCUUUUUCUUCAUGCUCCUCGUCAUCAAGCCUCUCUAUCUUCUCUGACCUCCAAGACCUACAUGACUUAGUCAUAAUGUAUAUACAAAAUGCAUGAUUUACAUCCUAAGAGUCUGAACAUGUAUGAAAAUUAAUUAAAAUUCAAAUGUAAUGUUUAUGGCCCCAAUGAGGCAGAAUUUAAAGAAAAAAAGAGAAAUUACAUGCUAAAACUACACAUCAGGUCAAAAAGUUACUGAUCAAUCAUAAAACUUUGAAGUUAAAUUAAUUUUGAUUGGGCUAGAGCAUGCCUGUUGAAGCAUUGAUAUCAUAUUAAGUUUCAUCAACUAUCAAUUAAACAUAUUGUCGCAACUGGUAUAGUAGUUUAUGGCUCUUAUAAUCGUAUCAUCACUCACUUAAUCUCCAAUCUCAUCUAUGAGGCGCGACACUCCUAAACAAAACAAAACAAAAACGAUCACGCAAAUGUUACCGAGAAACAAAUAUACCAUAUUGUCAUUACGUACUCACGGAUAAAAUUAAUUACAUACAUAAUCUGUGACCAGAAAAAAUUCCUAGAAAAGCGGGUUGUGUUAGAGAAUGUUAGUCUCUCUUUUAAAUAAAACAUGUUGUAAUUAUAUUCUUUUUUUGUCGAUACCCAUCUUCUAAGAUCAAAUGGUAGUCGGGCUUGAGUCGUUCCGAAGAGACGCUCUGUCCGGCUGGGUCUGAUCUAUAUGGGAAAAGAUUGUUCCGAAGCGGAGUUCUCUUUUCCCAUGUAAUUAUAUUCAAAAAUGAGAUUUAAAACCAGAAACCAAACAAAGGUAUCAGUGUCAAUGUUGGUGGUAACUACCGCCGCUGCACCAGCAACGUGAAAACGAAGAGGACGUCCAUUUAAUAUUAUACAUUCUGAGCGCGGUGAGUUUAAAAUUCGCUAUAUAAACAUGGUAGCUACCGCCGCUGCACCAGCAACGUGAAAACGAAGAGGACGUUCAUUUAAUAUUAUACAUUCUGAACGUGGUGAGUUUAAAAUUCGCUAUAUAAAAAUGGUAACUACCGCCGCUGCACCAGCAACGUGGAAAGCACGUUCAUUUAAUAUUAUACAUUCUGAACGGUGAGUUUAAAAUUCGCUAUAUAAACAUCGGAUGUUUUGUAGUAUACAUUCUAAACUGGUAAGAGAUGGCAAACCAAACAAAACCGAUCUUACCUCUAUUAGUCAAUAAGAAACCACUUGAGCUUAUUAAACCCUCAAAACACACCCCUUCUGAAACUCUCUCCCUUUCUACUUUGGAUAACGAUCUUUUCAAUGAAGUUAUGUACGCAACGAUUUACGUUUUCAAAGCCAACGAAAAGAACCAAAAUGAUCCUGUCCCUUUGCUUAGGAAGGCUUUGUCCGAACUUCUUGUGUACUACUAUCCCCUUUCAGGCAAGCUCAUGAGACGAGAGAGUGAUCGAAAACUUCAGCUAGUUUUUGGGGGUGAGGGAGUUCCAUUUGAGGUCGCUACUGCAGCCCUCAACCUCUCCUCUCUAAACUAUAUAUCACUAGUAGAAAUCUUGCUCAUAACCACGAAACAGCUACGAAAUUUUCGUGGCAAAUUUGAAAAUGCUACGAAAAUACUAUGAAAAUAAAACGUAGCAAACAAAAGCCACGAAAAUACAAUUCGUAUAUAAAUCGUAGCAAAAAAGUCACGAUACUGCCACAAGAUAAAACGUAGCAAACUAUAGCCACGAAAAAAGGUAGAAUAAAGUAAACAUAGUUAAUAAUUACUCCUAAAUUUCUAUUGGUUAAGAUAAGAGGGUGAGGAUCGCAAUUUUUGCCCAUUGAUUAAAUCAAAUCAAUGGUUCAGAUUCAUUUAUCUGUGCUUCUUUCUCUCUCUCCAAACUCUCUUCUCUCGAUAUCUUUUCCUAAUCUUAUUCUCUCCAGAACUCUAUCUCUUCAACAACACAACUCUGUCUUAAUCUCUCACAAUCACUCACAGCCCUCUUCUUCUCCAUCUACAACAACGAAGUUUAACAACAACCGUCACGCUCUUCACCACCACCACCGUCACGCUCUUCACCACCAUCACCGGUAGCGUCUCUCUCUCUCUCUCUCUCUCUCUCUCUCUCUCUCUCUCUCUCUCUCUCUCUCUCUCUCUCUCUCUCUCUCUCUCUCUCUCUCUCUCUCUCUCUCUCUCUCUCUCUCUCUCUCUCUCUCUCUCUCUCUCUCUCUCUCUCUCCUUCUCUCUUCUGUGCGUUGAAUCUGAGUUUAUUUAUUUUGGUAAAGGAAGCUGGAGGAGGCAGAGCAGAUUGAUGGAGGAGGAGGUAGCAGAGGCGGUGACUCAUGAGCUGAGCCGGCUUAAAGAUUGAAGAUAAGAAGAAGCGUGACGGCGGAGGAGGCGUGAAUCGCUUCAUCCAUAACACCACCGGUGGCUCCAGAAACAAAUCGAGUCGCCGCUUCAGGCGUAGUAUCCGGAGGUGUCGGUGGUGAAGCUGGUGGCGGUACCGGUGGUUGAGCCGGCGUACAUAUUUGUGUAUAUAUAUAUGAUAUAUAUUUAUAAUUUGUUUUCUAUAUAUUUUGUAAUUUCAUUAAUAAAAAUUAAUUUUUUCUAAUUUAGUAAUUUUUUUUUAUAAUUUUUUUUUUAAUUUUUUUCUUUAAAAAGACACGUUUUAGCCACGAUUUGUUUCGUAGCUAGAACAGACACGCAAAUUUUCGUAGCAAACUGUAACAAUAUUGGCCACGAAAAUGUCGCAGCAAAUCGUGGCAAUUUGCUACGUUUUUUGACACGGUCAAUUUUUGCUACGAUCGUAUACGUACGAUUUAAUUUCCGUAGCAUUUCGUGGCUUCCUCUCUCUAUACCCACGAAAUUUGGGUUAUAGCCACGAAAAAUAGUGUGGCUGUGGGGGUUUUUUUUACUAGUGAUAGAAAACCUUGAUGACCAAGUUGCUUUGCGCCUUGUGCCUGAUAUCGAAAUAGACUACGAUAGCAACAUCUCUUAUCAUCCACUAGCUUUGCAGGUAGCUUUUCAUUUUCUUGAUUAUAUUAGAAGAUUAUAUAUAUUAUUAUAAAAAAUAAAAUAGGUAUAUCAUUUCUUGAAGAUUCUUCAUUCAGAUGCUGAACCUGUCUUUCCUGGAUACUCAAAACAAACACUAAAAGACAUCUCUUAUCAUCCACUAGCUUUGCAGGUAGCUUUUCAUUUUCUUGAUUAUAUUAGAAGAUUAUAUAUAUUAUUAUAAAAAAUAAAAUAGGUAUAUCAUUUCUUGAAGAUUAUAUAAUCUCAAUAAACUCUCAAUAUUUAUUUAAGGAAUUUUGUUUUCAUCGUAGUGUACACAUGAUUAAGAUAAUCCAUUGUUCCCUUUGAUUUUACUUUUAAGGUGACCAAGUUCGCAUGUGGAGGAUUCACCAUAGGCACAGCGUUGACGCACGCCGUAUGUGACGGAUUCGGUGUGGCUCAGAUCAUCCAUGCUUUAACCGAGUUAGCUGCAGGAAAGAGCGAGCCAUCUGUAGUGCCAGUGUGGCAGAGAGAGCGGCUUGUCGGAAAAAAUGAUAAUAAACCUAAAAUGCCUGGCGGGCACAUUACUAGCCUUUUAGCGACCUCACCAUAUAUUCCAGCCAGUGAAAUGGUAUGUUGUUAAUGGAUUUUCAUUUUUUAUUUAUUUUAUGAGUAAGAAAAUCAGUUCUAGAGCCAAAUUUUAUCAGUAUUCAAACAACCUAAAUAUACUGCUUAUAAUUAUUUAUAGUAAUUAAAUAUGUGAUUUACAUAAAAUAUUUAUAAUGCUUUAUAAAACCAUUUUUAACAAUCAAAUAUUUUCAACUAUAUAAAAUGUUUCAAAAACAAUUUCUAGAAUUGAUAUAGUAGUUUUAUAUUCAUAUGCAAUUGGAUAUGAAUAUGUAGAGAAUGUGUAACAAUUAUAUUGUCUUAACAUUUUUAAAACUUAUUAAAUAUAUAAAACUUUAGCCACAAAUUACUUAAAAAUCAAAAGUUUCAAUAUUAUAUACCUUCAAAACUUAAUAAUUUUAUUAAAAACUGAAUAAUAAAUGUUAUAUAUAACUAAUUUUAGUACAAUUUUCAAUACAAAAUAUCAAAAAUAUUUAAAAUAGUCAUAUUUAUCAUUUUCAAAAACAAUUAUUCUUAGAAAAAUAUUUUAUAAAAAAAACAUAUUCGAUUUUUGAUGAUAAAAACAUAUUGUAAUUUGACAAUAAAUAUAUUGUUACAAAACAUUCAAAACCGUGAAUUCGCGGACAUCCACCUAAUUUGUAAUUGUACAUAGAGUAAAAAAAAUAAAAAAAAAAUAAAUAUAUAUAUAUAUAUAUAUAGUUGAUGUUCUCAAGGUUUACACGUUCUUGCAAAUAGAUUUGGUCAUGGACACAGCAUUGAACUCCCGAAAAAUUAGAAUAAUAUAUAGACAAACAUAAAUCCCUAAAUUGAUUAAUUUUUUUUAAAUAAAAUCCUUACUACAUUAUUUAAGGUAUUCUCAAAGCAUGCUUGUAAUAAGAAUAAUAAAUUUCUAGAGAUUUUUAGACCAAAAAAAAAAUUCAAGAGAUUGCAUGUAAAUCUGUAAUUAUAUAGAAGGAAAAUAUAAUUUUAGCUAAAGUGAGCUCUUAUCAUUCACUGUCCAACAGGUAACAGAGACAAUAAACAUUCGGGCUGGGAAUAUAAAGAGGCUUAAAGACUCUUUGAUGAGAGAGUGUGAGUACCCUAAAGAGGGUUUCACUACUUAUGAACUAAUUAGUUCUUGCAUAUGGAAAGCAAGAUCUCGAGCCCUAAAGCUAAACCUUGAUGGGAUCACUGUCCUUGGGGUAGCUGUUGGAAUCCGUCACGUUUUAGAUCCGCCACUUCCUCAAGGAUUCUACGGUAAUGCCUAUAUAGAUGUCUAUAUCGAGUUAACCGUGCGAGAACUCCAAGAAGCAUCAAUCUCUGACAUUGCUAAACACGUGAAGAAAGCCAAGAAAACAGCUUAUGAUAAGGGCUAUCUCGAGGAAGAGCUAAGGAACACGGAGAGAUUGAUGAGGGAUGAUGCAAAGUUCGAAGGGGUGAGCGAUGGACUAUUGUUUCUUACGGAUUGGAGGAACAUUGGUUGGUUCGGAUCAAUGGAUUUUGGUUGGAGUGAGCCGGUGAAUCUGCGGCCGUUGACCGAGCAGAAGAGUGCAGUGCAUAUAGGGAUGAUAUUGAAACCUUCACAACUUGAUCCAUCAAUGGAAGGUGGAGUUAAAGUGAUUAUGACGUUGCCUAGAGUUGCAAUGGUUGACUUCAAGCGAGAGAUGGAUGCUAUGAACAAACUUUACUCUUAAUAUUAUUAGUAUCUGGAUUAGUUUUCUAUGUGUGUGAGUGAAUGUGUGUUCGAAAAACAAAAACAAAAGAUGCGUGUGAGUGAAUGUUUCAAACAUGAAUAAUGGGCGAAUAAGAUCAGUAUGCUUAUAUGAAUGAUUGAAUGCUUAAGUAUAUGUUCAUCUUGUGUGUAGAAACCAAGAGAUCCAUAUUGAUUACAUUGUAAUAAUUAUCAUCAUUACUUCACUUCUUUGAAUAAUUGGAGGAAGAGGAGGUAAGAGUGUGGAGAUUUACUGGGAAGUGAUGCAGCGCCAUGGACGAUGAUGGAGUUUUGGGUAAAGGAGAGAACUUUGUGCUACUAUCCAGUUAUCUCUCAAACGACAUCGUUUAGAUAAGUUCGGAUGGUUUUGAAAAACACUCUGUUUUCUAUGUGCGAACACAGCAUGCAUGUCAUUCUCGUUCAAUUAUUAUUUCUUGACAAAAAGAGAGUUAUCAAUUUUAGUGUUACAAAAAAAGAUUUUUUUUUUGCUUAGAGUUACAAAAAAAGUUGUCAAAAUUUUCUUAAUAAAUAGGUUUCUAUUUUUUUUUAAAUCUGAUUUAUUUGACAUUACAAUUAAAAAAAAUUUUACUAGAUAAUUGUUAAUUUUAUAACAGAUAAAUGUAAUUGAGUUAUUAAAAUUCACAUCUGAUUAUAUCACUUUCCGUCUUUUUAUGAAAUCCACACGAUUUUAUUUGCAUCAUGUUGGAAAUUUUAGUUAAGCAUUUUUUAUUUAAUAUGUACAUAAUUUCUUUUUUUUGUUUUUGACGAAAUUCUUCUAUUUAAAGCAUGAGAAUACAAAAAAUACAAGCUAUAGGCCUUAGUGUUUUUGAUAGUUAGCCCAAUAGUUAGAACCCACAUAAAAAAGAACCCAAUAAGAGAUCGAUUCAGCUAGUGAUCGGCGGAGUAGUCAAAGAGGCACAAGGAGAAGUGAGUUUAUAGCCAAGCUUGGAUCAUCUGAGAGGAGAGUUGAGGAUUUGAUUCACGCAGGGCUUGAAUACGGUUACGAACCGUUCUGUCAAUCAUGGAGAGGACGGAAUCGGUUGAGCGAAAGGUGAGACGGUGAAUGCGGGCGUUUCGCUCGUACCAAAUAGAGUAGAUAACGAGCUGCCAGACAAGGAGGAGGAGGCGAGUCUUCCAGGAGGGUAGAUGUAUAGCUUGAAGUGUCGAUAGGGUAGAAGUCCAGUCUGAAGCUGUUGGGUGGAAGUCACAACGAGCAGCGGAAGCAGACCAGAGGUUCCAGCUAUAAGUACAUUCAAAAAGAAGGUGAUUGCGAGAUUCAGUACCUCCGGAGCAUAGAACACAAGAGGGAUCAACUGCAAGGCCCCAAGAGAGAAGGCGAUCGCGAGUUGGUAGACGAUUCAAAACCGCUAGCCAAGUUAAGAAGCUGUGCUUUGGAAUGCCGCUACGAUUCCAGACGAUCCUUCCCCAAGGAACUUCAGGCUCGUGCCUUUGGAAGAGGUUGUAGAUCCUUCCAGUUUUGAAUUUUAGAAGCUCCUUGUCCUCUAUCUGCCAGUAAAAUUCAUCAUCUGUGUCAGUAAGAUGGAAAGUAGUCAUAAAGGUUUGCACCAGCAUUUGUUUAUCCGAGCGUGGUGAUCUGAUUCUCCAUUCUCCAUUGUUGCAGAUGUCAGCCAAAGUUGCGUUCAAAGGGACUCCCAUAGUAUUCAGAUUGCGAGGAGACAAGAAGUCAGAGAGCUUCCCGUAAGGCGACCAGUUAUCUGUCCAAAAACGAACUGAGGUACCUCUUCCUAUUCUAACUUUGAUCCAGUUGUAGGCAGAGGAAGCCGUUUUUAGUAGCUUGUUAGCGAACCAUGAGAAUCUAGGAGAUGGGUUUUGCGUCCAUAAUUUCUUUUUUGGAAUCCAAUUUUCAAUAGAGAAAUAUUAAUGAACUAUUAAUAAAACUAUAUAACUAAAGUAGUUUCCACAAUAUGUUUCUAUUUAUUUCCAGAAUUUCAAAUAUUUUCUACAUUUUAUGUACUUAUGUUUACCCAUAUAAUUUGUUACAUUUUAAGAAAAUGAUUUAUUGCACACAAAAGUGAGCUGCAUGCGAAGGCUUAGGAAUGUAGCUACAAAUUACUAAUCAUGUACAAAUUUCACUUCUUUCCUUGUGUGAUGCAUUCAGUGCCGGUCCGGAGUCAGUUGGCGCCUAAAGCGCACCCUAUAAAUGUUGUCUCUUAGUUAUAAUUUUUUUUACAUUUAACAUUAUUAAAAUUUUAAAUAAAGUAUAAAAAUAUUAAUAAUUUUUAAUGAACUUUUUUAAAAGUAAUUCAAAAAUUUUAAAUAAUCAAGUGUUUUGACUUGUUUAUGUCCUAUUAAUAUUAUCGUCAGUAUUAAGAGGAAUGACCAGCAUUUGAUAGCUACUUGGAAGAUAUUAAGCUUUUGCAAUGCAGUUUCGUCAACUCAGAUAUUGUUCAUGUUUCUAGGACGGAGAACAUAAAGGCGGAUAGCUUAGCACGUAGUGCUAGAAAACAACCGUCUUUCGUCGUGCACAUGGACGCAGAGUUACCACAUUGGUUUACGGAAUCUAUAUGAGUCUGUAAAUAUUUGUUUUCAAAAAAAAAUAUAUAUAUAUAUAUAUAUAUCGUCAUUACGCUUAAUAACUUAUGAGAAAUAUUUUAACGUAAAUAAUUUAUUUUGAAUUUUAGUUUAGAGCUGAAAAUUAAAACAAAAUUUUUUUACUGAUGUAUGAUUAUAACCAUUCAUUUUUUUUUCUAUAAAAGAAAAAAACAUCUCAACUGCUUUCACAGUUUUCUUUGCAACUUUUAUCAAAUAGUAAAGUUCUACUAUAUACAUGUUUUGUCGAUAUUGAAGAACUUCUGAAGUAAGAGAAACAGAAGCAAAAUUAGAGGUAAACUUCGAUCUAGUGGGACUCAUAAACAAUUUAGAACCAAAAAGUGAUAGAGGAAGGAUAUACGUACUUGUAGAAUCAUCUUAACAGCUGUAACAUACUGAUUCCCAGGACCAAUUCAAUCAAUCUUUCACGAAUACAUGCAUUUCAUUUAACAAAAGUCUCAUCAUUUUGUCCAUAUAGUUUGAAACUUUCCUCUUCCAAAUCAAAAACCCAUUAACGUUUACAACAUUAAAACAAAUAGAGACACGAUAAAGGAGAGGACUUUCAAUCCUAUUCAAAACUACAAGAACACCACAACCAUAACUCUUUCAGAGAUUCCUUUGAAACUCAUUUUGAUUUACACAAAGACAAUCAAACGGAAGCUAGAAAGUAAGUAAGUAAACUAUACCUCCUUCUGGUUGCCGCCAGAGAAAAGACAAUAGAAUUUGCCUUUACUUUUGGUAACAGAGGUUCGCAGAGAGAAGACAGAGUUUGAGGUCCGGCACCAGAGGAGGAGCAAGGAGGUGGAAGAAGGAGGAGGAUUUAUCAGUAGUCAGGAUCGAAAGGAGGAGAAUCAAAAGAGGAAGAAGGAAACAAACAUGUGUCCUUUAAGAUACGCCUCUUAUUGUUCCAAUUUAAGAGACGUGUUUUCACUUAUUACAUAUUUUUGAUUUAUUUUGAUUCACUUUUACAUUAAGAGACCGUGUGAAACAACAUCGAUAAAUAUGCUCUAAUAGUUCCAAGUUAUUUCUCUUUAUAAAUGAAAAAGAACAACAAAUAUUAGACGGUCAUGCCUUGUAUUAUCUUUUAUUUAUCAAGUUUUUAAGAGUUUUUGUUAUAUUUAAUAUCAUCUGAUUCUACUUUGCCUUCAUGCAACUAGUCUAGUUAAUUAUGAAUUGUAGGCUAAGCAUAUAAAUAAGAUUAGAUGAUUACUAUAUGAUGCUAAAUCUUGUGUGUGUGUUUUUAAUCAAAUCCACUAGAUUAGAACAAGUGCAUGUGUUUUAAGUAAUGUGAUUAUGGUAAUCAGCUUGAUGAUCACCUAACUAGCAAGAACUUGAAAUCACAAUGACAAUAUAAUCCAGUUCUUCGAUAACUAAGAUUAAAUAAUACGUGAUGCAUUACACAAGAAAGGAACUAAGGGUCUGACUGGUUCAAACGCAGCGGUUGCGGUUGCGGUUGCGGGCGUUUGCGGAUGCGGGUGGUUGCGGUUUCUAGCGGUUUUAAGAGAUUUGUACGACUGGUUCCGCGGUUAGAAAUUGGUGCGUUUGCGGGAUACUUAUGACUGGUAAACUACCAAAUACAGCAGCGGUCAAAUAAUAAAUUAACUUUGUACUUAGUAUGUAAACCAUAUAUGCAUAGUCUUCUCAGCUCAUGUGUUUUUUGGUGUGUACAAUAAUAGAUCAUUCUCUUAGAAUUUUAAAUGUAAUAAAUUAUAUGGUUAAAAAUAAGUAAACAAAAUGUGGAGUAUAUAAAUAAAAACCUAUUAUGUGAAUGGGUAAAAACGGCAUGCAUGUUUUGUUAGCACAUAGAAAACGGAGUGUAUUCGAAAACCAUCCCUGCACUCAAUAACUGGAUAAUAGUACAAACAAAGUUGUCUCCUUUACCCCCAAAACUCAUCAUCCAUGGCGCUGUGUCACUUCCCAGUAAAUCUCCACACUGUUUCGUCCUCCUCUUCUUCUUCCUUUCACCCUCUAGUAAGCUCUCAACUUUGGAUCAGUAGACUUAGAUUUCACCCCUUCAGCCACGCAAUUCAAUUGAAUACCAUCAGAGCCGCCGCCAUUGAUGUCGACACUCACCCGAGGAGGAAGAAGAAGAAGAGGAAACCCAAACCGGGUUUCUUCGAAGAGAUCAGCGACAAAUGGUCUUCCCGAAUCAGCCCCAAAGACAGCAACUUUCCUUGGCAGAAGAAGCACGAAGAGCAAACUCAACCCCAUCAGCAAGAAGAAGAAUCAGAAUCAGAAGUAAACCGGUCUUCAGAGUUAACCGGUAAGAUAACCGAUUCCAAUCUCCGGUCUAGCUUCCCAAGGCCUAGCGGUUACAUGUCUGCUCCAUGGGUUAAUGUCAAAGAUGAAAGCUUUAACCAAAAUAGAUAUAGAAAGGAUAAUGCUUUAGAUUUAGAUGAUGAUGAUGGUGGAAGAGGGAUGGUGGUAGAAUCAGGGAGAGACAAAGGAGUAUGGAGAAGUAAGAAGAGUAACACUGUAGAAGCCGAGAGAGCUGUACCGGAACAUGAGCUGAGUAGGCUUAGGAGUGUAGCUUUGAGGAUGGUUGAGAGAGUCAAAGUAGGUUCUGCCGGAAUCACACAGGCUUUGGUUGAAGCCAUUCACGAGAAAUGGGAGGAUGAUGAAGUUGUGAAGCUGAAGUUCGGUGAGCCUUGUGCUCUCAACAUGAAGAGAACUCACGAGACUUUGGAGAAGAAGACCGGUGGGUUAGUGAUCUGGAGGUCAGGAAGCUCGGUGGUACUGUACAGAGGGAUAAGUUACAAUCUCAAGUGUGUUCAAUCUUUCAUCAAACAGAACAAUCUUGAUACAAGCCCUGAGGCAAAGGAGUACACAGCAGAGGAGGCGAAUUACCCUAAGAAUGUACCAAAAGAGCAGUUAUCAGAGCUAUGUGAGCUGAACGAUCUGUUGGACGAGAUUGGUCCAAGGUUUCAUGAUUGGACAGGGUGUGCUCCGUUCCCCGUUGAUGCAGACUUGCUUCCUCCAAUGGUUCUAGGAUACAGAUGUCCGUUUAGGGUUCUUCCUCAAGGAGUUAAACCUUGUUUGUCUAACAAGGAGAUGACAGAGAUGCGUCGGCUUGCUAGGACUAGCCCUCCUCAUUUUGCUCUUGGUAUGUAUGCAUACAAUAGUCAUUAUCUUUAUUGUGCUCUAAAAGAUCGGUCUGAACAAAUCGGAUAUGAACGAAAUGAUUUUUUUCAAACUGAUUUAUGAAAAAAUCAGUCUAGUCUAAACAAUAAUCCUCUAUAAAACGCCUAACCACCGUCUAGUGAAUUUUUAGAACAUUUUAAUGUGUUGGCGAGUGACUGUUGUUUCUUUGUGUAUAGUCAGCAAAUCAGAUAUGAACGAAAUGAUAUUUUCAAGCCUAUUUAUUAAAAAAUCGGUUUAGGUGUCCGCCUAAACAAGAAUCCGCCUAACACGUCUAGAGAUUCUUAGAACAUUUUAAUGUGUUGGCGAGUGACUGUUGUUUCUUUGUGUAUAGUUCAGCAAAUAGGAUAUGAACGAAAUGAUUUUUUCAAACUGAUUUAUUAAAAAAUAGGUAUAGGUGUCCGCCUAAACAAGAAUCCGCCUAACCACGUCUAGAGAUUUUUAGAACGUUUUGAUGUGUUGGUGACUGACUGUUGUUUCUUUGUGUAUAGUCAGCAAAUCGGAUAUGAACGACCUUUUCAAACUGAUUUAUUAAAAAAUGGGUCUAAGUGCCCGCCUAAACAAUAAUCGCCUAACCACCUUUUUGGAACAUUUAUAUGUGUUGGCGAGUGACUGUUGUUUCUUUGUGUAUAGGGAGGAGCAGAGAGUUACAAGGUCUUGCUGUGGCAAUGAUAAAGCUAUGGGAGAAGAGCGCGAUCGCGAAGAUAGCAAUCAAACGCGGCGUGGAGAACACACGGAACGAGAGAAUGGCUGAAGAGCUCAAGAGGCUUACGCGCGGCGUACUCGUUUCGAGAAACAAAGAGUACAUUGUCUUCUACAGAGGCAACGACUUCAUGCCUCCCGCGGUUUCAGAGGCGUUGAGGGAGAGGCAAAAGGAGAUAACGGAGGUUCUUCAGAACAAAGAGGAUCAACUCCGGGAAACGGCUUCAGCAAGAGUCACACCUGUAUCGCAAGGCAAGCGGAUUAAAACGCCGUUGCUCGCUGGAACUCUCGCUGAGACUAUAGCUGCAAGUUCAAGAUGGGCGCCAGAGGCAAGCAGUGUUGAUGUAGAGGAGUUGAAGAGAGAAUCAGCUUCUAUUAAGAGAGCUGCGUUGAUCAGAGAUCUUGACUUGAGACUUCUUUAUGUGAGUGUUAUUAUUAUUACCCUCUUAUCUGAUUACAAGCAUUUGGUGAUCUUUCUCUUUUGUUGUAUAGGCAAAGCAAAAGCUGAGAAAAGCUGAGAAGGCUUUAGCUAAAGUGCAGAAGGAUCUUGACCCAUCUGAUCUCCCAACUGACUCAGAGAUCAUCACAGAAGAAGAGAGACUUCUUUUCCGUAGAAUCGGUUUGAGUAUGGAUCCAUUUCUCCUCGUAGGUAAGGGCAAAGACUGUUCUCAUCUCACUUGUCACCUUUAAAAGCCAUUACUAUCUGUGUUAUAAUGUUCGUUUUCCUUAACAGGAAGAAGAGAAGUGUUUGAUGGUACCAUAGAGAAUAUGCAUCUACACUGGAAACACAGGGAGCUCGUAAAGAUCAUUGUUAGAGGCAAAUCUCUUCCGCAAGUGAAGCAUAUAGCUAUCUCUUUGGAGGCUGAGAGUGGAGGAGUGUUGGUGUCCGUUGAUAAUACCUUGAAAGGCUAUGCGAUCAUACUCUACCGUGGGAAGAACUAUCAGAUGCCUUUCCGGCUUAGGCCUUCAAAUUUAUUGACAAGAAAAAAGGCUUUUACUCGGUCCAUUGAGCUUCAGAGAAGAGAAGUAAUGAAUGAUAAAAAAAUAGUUACAAUAUAACUUGUGUGGAAAGUUUCUGUUAUGAUCAAAUAUUGGUCUCUCUCUUUUGGUUGGACAGGCACUAAAGCAUCAUGUUGCUGACCUAGAGGAACGGAUUGAGCUGUUGAAGUCAGGACAGGUUUGAUGAAAUCUGAUUGCAAUAUGCUUUAAAACGUCUGACUAGGCGGCAAAUUAGGCCUAAGCGAAACGAUUUUUGUGAAAAAAAAUCGGUGUAGGCAUUCAAAAAAUCGGUCUAAACAAUAAUCUCCUAUAAAUUGUUUAAUUACCGUCUAGCAAUUUCUUUUAACAUUGUUACUAAAUUAACAAACGAUUAUAUGAUAUCCAGGAAGAGGAUAGGGAACCCCACAAGAAAAGUGAUGGAGAGGAAGAUGAUAACUUGUAUUUGAGGGUUGAUGAAUCUGAUUAUUCUUCUGACGAGGUAAAGUAAUAUCCUCCUCAAGGUUCUUGAUGAAGAUUUGCAACAUUACUUAGAAACCAUGACAGUCUCUGAAAUUGCUUCUUGUGAAUCAGGAUGAAUCUUUCUUAUCAUCAGAGGAAGAGGAAGAAGAAACUUGAACCACUAAACAAAUAUAAUCUCAUAUUUUGUAUAACACUGUCAGAACUUGUAAUGAUAAAUUUUCAGGUUCCGCAAUGAAAAUUAUAGAUGUAGUUACAUUAUUACAUAUUUUAAUUUGCAUAUAAGCACACUCACAUAUUCACUUUUAUUCUUUUCACGUAAAGAAAGUUCAUAUGCAUGGAACUAAAGUUUGUUCAUAGCAUCCAUAUUUAAUUUGAACAUAACCAUUGCAUCUCUUGGUAACGUCAUGACCACUUUAACGCCACCUUCCAUUGAUGGGUCUAACUUAGAAGGUCUCAAGAUCAUCCCUAUAUGCAUUGCACUCUCCCUCUGAGUCAACGGCCUCAGAUUCAUCGGCUCAUUCCAACCAAAAUCCAUGGAUCCAAACCAACCAAUAUUUCUCCAAUCCGUCAAGAAA
rnacentral:lncRNA from 1 species